AUUGAACGCUGGCGGCAUGCUUUACACAUGCCAGUCGAACGGCAGCGCGGGCUUCGGCCUGGCGGCGAGUGGCGAACGGGUGAGUAAUACAUCGGAACGUGCCCAGUAGUGGGGGAUAGCUCGGCGAAAGCCGGAUUAAUACCGCAUACGACCUGAGGGUGAAAGCGGGGGAUCUUCGGACCUCGCGCUAUUGGAGCGGCCGAUGGCAGAUUAGCUAGUUGGUGGGGUAAAGGCCUACCAAGGCGACAAUCUGUAGCUGGUCUGAGAGGACGACCAGCCACACUGGGACUGAGACACGGCCCAGACUCCUACGGGAGGCAGCAGUGGGGAAUUUUGGACAAUGGGCGAAAGCCUGAUCCAGCAAUGCCGCGUGUGUGAUGAAGGCCUUCGGGUUGUAAAGCACUUUUGGCGGGAACGAAAAGGACUGUGCCAAUACCACGGUUCGAUGACGGUACCCGCAGAAUAAGCACCGGCUAACUACGUG
rnacentral:rRNA from 1 species